GUGACACAUGGCGAUAUCAAGUAGAGGGGCUUCCACUCGUAGUCACCAUGGCCAACAGAGAUGUGUUUGUGAAAAAUGCAGUUCUAUACCAUACUGUUGUGCAACGGCAGAGCUGUCUUGAUCAACUCAUUGAUGGCUUGUCCCACUAUGGAGUUUUAUCACUCCUGAGAGAGAACCCCAGCUUGCGUGUGCUGCUUGACAUACCAGGAGAGGACAAAGGUCAAGAAGCUGAUUUUGUAGCUGGUAUUCUCAAACCAAGCUACUCCGUACUGGGGAGCAAC